UACGGGGGGGGCAAGCGUUGUUCGGAAUUACUGGGCGUAAAGGGCUCGUAGGCGGCCAACUAAGUCAUACGUGAAAUCCCUCGGCUUAACCGGGGAACUGCGUCUGAUACUGGAUGGCUUGAGUUCGGGAGAGGGAUGCGGAAUUCCAGGUGUAGCGGUGAAAUGUGUAGAGAUCGGGAGGAACACCGGUGGCGAAGGCGGGUCUCUGGGCCGUAACUGACGCUGAGGAGCGAAAGCAUGGGGAGCGAACAGG
rnacentral:rRNA from 1 species